AACGAACGCUGGCGGCAGGCUUAACACAUGCAAGUCGAACGCAUCGCAAGAUGAGUGGCAGACGGGUGAGUAACGCGUGGGAACAUACCCUUUUCUACGGAAUAGCUCUGGGAAACUGGAAUUAAUACCGUAUACGCCCUACGGGGGAAAGAUUUAUCGGGGAAGGAUUGGCCCGCGUUGGAUUAGCUAGUUGGUGGGGUAAAGGCCUACCAAGGCGACGAUCCAUAGCUGGUCUGAGAGGAUGAUCAGCCACAUUGGGACUGAGACACGGCCCAAAAUCCUACGGGAGGCAGCAGUGGGGAAUAUUGGACAAUGGGCGCAAGCCUGAUCCAGCCAUGCUGCGUGAGUGAUGAAGGCCUUAGGGUUGUAAAGCUCUUUCACCGAUGAAGAUAAUGACGGUAGUCGGAGAAGAAGCCCCGGCUAACUUCGUGCCAGCCGCCGCCGUAAUAC
rnacentral:rRNA from 1 species